GGAGACUUUAGAGGCAUUGGAAAAGGGCGGGCGGCGGCAGAGUGGGCCGAGGCGGCACCCGAGGAGGCCACGGGGGUACUCGGGGUCCCACUAGAAGCUCGCUUGCCGCGCGCUUUUUGAUACCACAUUGGUAAUCAGCUGAAGACUGACAAUAAGUUACAAAAAUAACAAAACAAUUUUAGAUUGGCUAGCAUUCCAUUUAUCUGUCAAAUCUCUUCCUUCAAGAAACACAUUCUUGUUGUUUGGAGGUGGGUUUGGAGGAUUUGGGACAACAUCUACAACUGCAGGUUCUGCGUUCAGCUUUUCUGCCCCAACUAACACAGGCACUACUGGACUCUUUGGUGGUACUCAGAACAAAGGUUUUGGAUUUGGUACUGGUUUUGGCACAACAACGGGAACUAGUACUGGUUUAGGUACUGGUUUGGGAACUGGACUGGGAUU
rnacentral:sRNA from 1 species